rnacentral:rRNA from 1 species
AGAUUGAACGCUGGCGGCAGGCCUAACACAUGCAAGUCGAGCGGCAGCACGGGUACUUGUACCUGGUGGCGAGCGGCGGACGGGUGAGUAAUGCCUAGGAAUCUGCCUGGUAGUGGGGGAUAACGCUCGGAAACGGACGCUAAUACCGCAUACGUCCUACGGGAGAAAGCAGGGGACCUUCGGGCCUUGCGCUAUCAGAUGAGCCUAGGUCGGAUUAGCUAGUUGGUGAGGUAAUGGCUCACCAAGGCGACGAUCCGUAACUGGUCUGAGAGGAUGAUCAGUCACACUGGAACUGAGACACGGUCCAGACUCCUACGGGAGGCAGCAGUGGGAAUAUUGGACAAUGGGCGAAAGCCUGAUCCAGCCAUGCCGCGUGUGUGAAGAAGGUCUUCGGAUUGUAAAGCACUUUAAGUUGGAGAAGGCAGUUACCUAAUACGUAUCUGUUUUGACGUUACCGACAGAAUAAGCACCGGCUAACUCUGUG